rnacentral:rRNA from 1 species
UACGUAGGGGGCGAGCGUUUGUCCGGAUUUAUUGGGCGUAAAGCGCGUGUAGGCGGCCCACUAAGUCUGAUGUGAAAGCCCGGGGCUCACCCCCCGGAAGUGCAUUGGAAACUGGUGGACUCGAGUCCCGGAGAGGAGAGUGGAAUUCCUGGUGUAGCGGUGAAAUGCGCAGAUAUCGGGAAGAACACCCGUGGCGAAGGCGGGUUCUCUGGGACGGUACUGACGCUGAGACGCGAAAGCGUGGGGAGCGAACAGG